rnacentral:lncRNA from 1 species
AAAACAUGAGAGCUUUCAGUUGAAAGGUGACCCGUGCCUAAAUGUCCAUCUCUCUGUGCACAUUGGGCUGACUGUGCUGCAGAGUGUGAAGUGGGAAAUAUCUGAACGAACACUUCUGUAUUUACAGAAAAUGAUGAAGAUGAGGAUGAAGAUGAGGAUGAAGAUGUUGAAGUUGAGGAGGCUGAGAAAGUACAGGAAUCAUGUGCCCCCAGGGAGGUGGGGAAGAUUGAAGAAAAGGAAGUCCCUGAGGACUCAGUGGAGGAAUGUGCCGUCACUUGUUCAAAUAGCUAUGGCCCUUCUGAGUCCAACCAGCCUCACAAGAACUCCAAAAUCACAUUUGAGGAAGACCAAGUGGACUCUACUGUGCUUAUAGACCGUGAAUUGUCUCCUGAUGGAUGGCAGGAUGCUCUAAACCUUCUCCCAGGUAGCCUCUGUUUUCCUUGUGUCUCAUACCUUGUCUAGGCUACGGAAGAUCCAUUGUGAGGACAGGCUGUAUAGGUACAUAUUGGUUUACUCAGAAACUUAGAUGGAGCUAGGUGCAGUGACUGACACAUAUAUUCGCAGCACGUUGGGAGGCCCAAGUGGGAGGAUCAUUUGAGUUCAUGCGUUCAAGACCAGGCUGGAGAAUAUGGUGAGAUCCAUCUUUACAAAGAAUACAAAACAUUAGCCAGGCAUGUUCCUUUGCCCCUAUAGUCCCAACUGCUCAGGAGGCUUCGGUGCGAGGAUGGGCUCAGAUGAUCCUCCCACCCUCAUUCACUUUUCGCAGGCUAGACUCUCUCUCGUUUUCGUUGGCUUGUCUUAGCUGUUAAUAAGAAGUCUCUGGCCAGGGUCGCUGGCUCACAUCUUGUAAUGCCAGUACUUUGGGAGGGCGAGGUGGGCGGAUCACCUGAGGUCAGGAGUUCGAAAGCAGCCUGGCCAACAUGGCGAAAUUGCAUCUCUACUAAAAAUACAAAAAAUAGCUGGCAGGGUGGUUUGCGCCUGUAAUCCCAGCUACUUUGGAGGCUGACACACGAGAAUCACUUGAACCCAGGAGGCAGAGGUUGUGGGGAGCUGAGAUGGUGCCACUGGACUCCAGCCUGGGCGACACAGUGAGACUCCCUCUCAAACAAAACAUAAGAAACCAAAACAAAACAACCAAUCGAACAAAAAUUUAAUGAAACAAAAAACAGUCUCUUGAGCUACACAGAAACAUUGGCCCCUCAUGGGGUAAAAAGAUCAGAGUCGGCCGGGCGCGGUGGCUCAAGCCUGUAAUCCCAGCACUUUGGGAGGCUGAGACGGGCAGAUCACGAGGUCAGGAGAUCGAGACCAUCCUGGCUAACACGGUGAAACCCCAUCUCUACUAAAAAAAAAUACAAAAAACUAGCCGGGUGAAG